GCCAGCAGCCAUAUCACUCUGCAACUCACAACUGGCAACCCACUGAAGCUCAGCAGGUGUGAGCCUGGUCAGUACUUGGAUGGGAUGCCUUCUGGGAAAAACUAAGGUUGCUGCUGGAA
rnacentral:rRNA from 1 species